GGGAUCAGCACUGAACACAGACCUCUCACCAUGGAGUUCUGGUUGAGCUGCAUCUUCCUCGUAUCUAUUUAUAAAGGUGUCCAGUGUGAUGUGCAGCUGGUGGAGACUAGGGGAGGCUUCAUACGUCCUGCGGGUUCCCUGAAACUCUCCUGUGCAGCCUCUGGGUUCACCUUCAGUGAUUACUACAUAAGCUGGUUCCGCCAACCUCCAGGGAAGGGGCUGGAGUGGGUUGCAGAGAGUAGAAACAAAGCGAGUAGUUACACAACACAGUACAGUGCAUCUGUGAAGGGCCGGUUCACCAUCUCCAGAGAUAAUUCUAAAAGCAUCCUGUACUUGCAAAUGGACAGCCUGAAACCUGAGGACACAGCCACUUACUACUGUGUAAGGGACUCCACAAUGAGGGGACUCCAGACACAAACCUCGCUGCAGGGAGGUUAUUUCCCAAGGUUUUCACCUUGA